GGUCGGGUAGCCUAGUGGUUAGAGCGUCCGCCUUGGAUGCUGAAAGUCGUGGGUUCGAUCCCAGGCCAAGUCA